UUGCAAUUUGGACAAGACUUGGCCUUCAUCUUCUACUCUUGUUAUAGUCUUCCUUACUCUUGUUAUAGUCUUCCUGGCCUUCAUCUUCUACUCUUGUUAUAGUCUUCCUCUUCCACCACUUCUCAGCCAGUCUGCCGACAGCCGACAGCCGACAGACUCACCCUCGCUCACGCACAAGCACUUUACAAGUUCCAACGGAGAUCAUGAGCUCCAAGCAACAUGCAGCUAUUCUCUGCAGCCCGGGGAUGGGGCACCUCAUCCCUGUCCUCGAGCUCGGAAAACAACUCGUCACACACCAAAACUUCGCCGUCACAAUCUUCAUCUUCCCGUCUUCCGAGGCGGAACUCAAGGCAGCCACGUGCACAAAAAUAUGUGACAUCGUCCAACUCCCAGCCCCGGACACUUCAAAGCCUGCAAACCUGAUCGUAAAGAUGCGAGAGCUGCGACAUGUCUUCCGGUCAGCCGUAUGUGCCAUGAAGUUCACCCCGACCAUGCUUAUUGUGGACCUGUUCGGCACCGAAUCAUUUCCCAUUGCCGAGGAGCUAGGGAUUCCAAAGUACUUGUUCUUUGCUUCCAAUGCAUGGUUUUUGUCGUUCGUGAUUUGCUGUCCAACAUUCGACAUGGAAGUCGAAGGAAACUUCGUUGACCACAAAGAACCGUUGAAGAUCCCAGGUUGUAGGGAGUUACGCCCUCGGCUCGAUGUCAUUGAUAUUAUGUUGGACCGAACCGACCAGCGUUACCAUGAUUUUGUUGGGAUUGCAAGCCGGAUCCCCAAGUGUAGUGAUGGGAUCUUGCUAAACACGUGGAAGGAGCUAGAGCCCAUUACUCUUGCGGCGCUUAGAGAUGAGAACUUGUUGGGCAGGUACUCGACAGUGCCCGUUUAUCCAAUUGGGCCCAUAAUAAGGCCCAAUGAGUCCAACCGUUCGGUGGGUAAGGUGUUUGAUUGGCUAGAUAAGCAACCCAAUGAGUCCGUAAUCUUCGUGUCAUUUGGUAGCGGUGGGGCUUUGUCGCACGAGCAAAUGAUUGAGCUUGCUUGGGGUUUGGAGUUCAGCCAACAACGAUCAUUUGGGUGAUACGAUCCCCGACCGUAACAACUGCGGAUGCGGCUUAUUUUACGACUGACGGUGAUGUUGAAGGCCCGUUAAAGUACUUGCCUGAAGGGUUCAUUGACCGGACCAAGGACCUCGGGCUUGUUAUUCCUUUGUGGGCCCCACAAGUGGAGAUUUUGUCCCAUCCAUCAGUCGGAGGGUUUUUGUCGCAUUGUGGGUGGAGCUCAACCCUAGAGAGCCUAACCAACGGAGUGCCAAUGAUUGCUUGGCCUCUUUUUGCGGAGCAAAGGACGAACGCCACGCUUCUGACAGAAGAGCUUGGGGUGGCGGUGCGGUCCAAGGUACCACCGUGGAAAAAAGUAGUGGAGAGGAAAGAGAUCGAGGAAAUGGUGAGAAUGAUUAUGGUGGACCAAAAAGGCUUUGUUUUGAGGGAAAGAAUGAAGAAGCUAAAAGAAAGUGCCGCAAAGGCAUUGGAAGAAGGGGGUUCAUCUCAUAAUGCUCUUUCUCAAUUUGCAAAGCAUGGUGAAUCGAUGUACAUGCAACUUGCCAAUGUCAAUGUCCGAAACUGAAUUGGAGGUAUUCUCUUGUAAUUUAAUUAUCUCAAUAAUACUUCCGAGCACUAAUUCACCUUGUUUUGUGUUGUAUUUGAGGUUCCUUUUAGCUUUACGAUAAAUAAAUAACUUUAGUUAAGGUAUCAAA